AGCAUAUCGGAAUAARMGGAGGAAAAGAAACUAACAAGGAUUCCCCUAGUAACGGCGAGUGAAGCGGGAAGAG
rnacentral:rRNA from 1 species